UACGUAGGGGGCUAGCGUUGUCCGGAAUCAUUGGGCGUAAAGAGCGUGUAGGCGGCUCGAUAAGUCCGCUGUGAAAGUCCAGGGCUCAACCCUGGGAUGCCGGUGGAUACUGUCGGGCUCGAGUCCGGAAGAGGCGAGUGGAAUUCCUGGUGUAGCGGUGAAAUGCGCAGAUAUCAGGAGGAACACCAAUGGCGAAGGCAGCUCGCUGGGACGUGACUGACGCUGAGACGCGAAAGCGUGGGAGCAAACAGG
rnacentral:rRNA from 1 species